UCCAACGGAAUCUAGCAAUCUUGGACGUUGAUGUAGCUCUGGUCAUAACAACAUCGCCGCCGACCUCCCAACAACCAACUCGCCGCCGCCAAGGGGCGGAGCUAAGCCCCGGCCAAACUGGGCAGGUGCCCGCACCUGCAUCUCCGCCGCCGCCGCGCACGCCACCACUGUCCGCCGAGGGGCCGUCUGCACGUCGCCGUGUCGGACGGAGACGUCCGCCGUCCUGGGCUGGCGGCCGUCUCCGAGGUCGUGCCCAUAUGAUUAUCCACUUUACGAUUAUGCACUCCAGGGAGAGCCUGAUGGCCAUUUUAUGAUGGUGAUUCUGUGACGUCUAAAGGUUCCAAGACAUCAUCUGAGAAAAUUGAAGUGGCAAGAUCUCUUAAAUACAUCAGGGCACCUUGGAAGAACAAAGCUUCGAAAUCUGAGGAGCACAGGCCUGUGGUCCAUCCAGAAGUAAUUCUUUGUGUGGAAAUUUAUCAGAAGAGAUAUGUCUCUGUGAAAAGCCAGGAAUUUCUUGUGUUGGGAAGCCAAUUCCUUAGUGGUCUAAGGGACGACACCGAGAGAACUUUUGUGACGCUCGUGUCAGGACCUUCACAUUAUACUACUACCAAGAACAUGCGCCCUGUUGUUUCCUUUUCAAUGAAACUUCUCUGUUUUCCUCCUAAUCAGAAGACCAUAGCUCAUGAACAAACAAUGUCGAGCUGCAAGGUAGUGCUCAAUUAUGAAAGGCACCUGGCAUACAAGCUGUCAGUACAGCAUCAGCUUUGCUUCCGGUUAUUCUUGUGUGUCAUGCAAAUGAUUAUUCUAUUGUACUACCUUGCAGAAGCUGUUGUGGGUGCUGAAAUUAGCGAAGAUGGGCCUUCCGACAAGUGAUGAAAUGCAAAAGUAAGAAAUUGCCUGUAUAUUUCAUCGUCUACGAUGAGAAUAGCUGAAAAUUUCAGAGCGUCAGCAUAUGCACUU